rnacentral:rRNA from 1 species
GACGAACGCUGGCGGCGUGCUUAACACAUGCAAGUCGAGCGAUGAAGUUCCUUCGGGAACGGAUUAGCGGCGGACGGGUGAGUAACACGUGGGUAACCUGCCUCAUAGAGGGGAAUAGCCUUUCGAAAGGAAGAUUAAUACCGCAUAAGAUUGUAGUAUCGCAUGAUACAGCAAUUAAGGGAGUAAUCCGCUAUGAGAUGGACCCGCGUCGCAUUGGCUAGUUGGUGAGGUAACGGCUCACCAAGGCGACGAUGCGUAGCCGACCUGAGAGGGUGAUCGGCCACAUUGGGACUGAGACACGGCCCAGACUCCUACGGGAGGCAGCAGUGGGGAAUAUUGCACAAUGGGGGAAACCCUGAUGCAGCAACGCCGCGUGAGUGAUGACGGUCUUCGGAUUGUAAAGCUCUGUCUUCAGGGACGAUAAUGACGGUACCUGAGGAGGAAGCCACGGCUAACUACGUGCCAGCAGCCGCGGUAA